CAGUAGCCGCGGGAAUACGUAGGGUGCAAGCGUUAAUCGGAAUUACUGGGCGUAAAGCGUGCGCAGGCGGUUAUAUAAGACAGAUGUGAAAUCCCCGGGCUCAACCUGGGAACUGCAUUUGUGACUGUAUAGCUAGAGUACGGCAGAGGGGGAUGGAAUUCCGCGUGUAGCAGUGAAAUGCGUAGAUAUGCGGAUGAACACCGAUGGCGAAGGCAAUCCCCUGGGCCUGUACUGACGCUCAUGCACGAAAGCGUGGGGAGCAAACAGGAUUAGAUACCCCUGUAGUCCCUGUCUCUUAUAC
rnacentral:rRNA from 1 species